rnacentral:lncRNA from 1 species
ACAAAUCGAACAAUUUUGAUGUUUUCCUAAUUAAAGUUCCCUUCAGAGACUCAUACCCUUUAUCUUUCUUUGCUGCUUCAGGGGAUCUUCUUUUCCUGAAGUUCAGAGUCCUAAUUCCAUUGUUUGGUUUGGUUCUUCCCUCAGAAAACAUGUUGUUUUUGCCAGUGACCACAAGAGGACACAAUUUCCCAGAGAACUUAAUUUAAAAAGCUCAUAGAAGAAAGCUAACAAAAUAGCAGAAAUACCACACAAUUAAUGAGUAUCACUUUGGAAAUGUUUGGUUGAUUUAUAUGAAUUUUAUUGAAUUUUAAAAACAAACAUGCUUUAUUAUUGAAGCUUUAGAUGUUUCUAAGAUACCAUUUUUUCCUUAUUUAGGCCCCAAAUAAAAGUAUACAUUUCUGAAAAUAUACAAAAAUGCUACUGUUGUAAUUCAAAUAAAAAUGUUUAUAAUACACUAGUACAAUUUUGUACAAAAUUCUUGAUGACAUAGAAUUUUAGUUAGUUAAUUUUAAAGUCAUGCUUGGAGAUGAAAAAUAAUGAAUAUUUCAAAAUGCAAUAGAAAGUUUGAAUUUUCAAUUUGGUUGUCUGGGGUGUUUUUAUAUAGAAAAUUCC